UACGUAGGGUGCAAGCGUUAAUCGGAAUUACUGGGCGUAAAGCGUGCGCAGGCGGUGAUGUAAGACAGGUGUGAAAUCCCCGGGCUCAACCUGGGAACUGCAUUUGUGACUGCAUCGCUGGAGUGCGGCAGAGGGGGAUGGAAUUCCGCGUGUAGCAGUGAAAUGCGUAGAUAUCAUUUGGAACGCCAAUGGUGAAAACAGGUAGCUGGGAGUGUGCUGACGCUGAGACACGAAAGCCAGGGGAGCAAACGGG
rnacentral:rRNA from 1 species